AGACAACAGGGAUUGCCCUAGUAACGGCGAGUGAAGCGGCAACAGCUCAAAUUUGAAAUCUGGCGUCUUUGGCGUCCGAGUUGUAAUUUGCAGAGGGCGCUUUGGCAUUGGCAGCGGUCCAAGUUCCUUGGAACAGGACGUCACAGAGGGUGAGAAUCCCGUACGUGGUCGCUAGCCUUUACCGUGUAAAGCCCCUUCGACGAGUCGAGUUGUUUGGGAAUGCAGCUCUAAAUGGGAGGUAAAUUUCUUCUAAAGCUAAAUACUGGCCAGAGACCGAUAGCGCACAAGUAGAGUGAUCGAAAGAUGAAAAGCACUUUGGAAAGAGAGUUAAAAAGCACGUGAAAUUGUUGAAAGGGAAGCGCUUGCAGCCAGACUUGCCUGUAGUUGCUCAUCCGGGUUUUUACCCGGUGCACUCUUCUACGGGCAGGCCAGCAUCAGUUUGGGCGGUUGGAUAAAGGUCUCUGUCAUGUACCUCCUCUCGGGGAGAACUUAUAGGGGAGACGACAUGCAACCAGCCCGGACUGAGGUCCGCGCAUCUGCUAGGAUGCUGGCGUAAUGGCUGUAAGCGGCCCGUCUUGAAACACGGACCAAGGAGUCUAACAUCUAUGCGAGUGUUUGGGUGUCAAGCCCGAGCGCGUAAUGAAAGUGAACGGAGGUGGGAACCUUUCGGGGUGCACCAUCGACCGAUCCUGAUGUCUUCGGAUGGAUUUGAGUAAGAGCAUAGCUGUUGGGACCCGAAAGAUGGUGAACUAUGCUUGAAUAGGGUGAAGCCAGAGGAAACUCUGGUGGAGGCUCGCAGCGGUUCUGACGUGCAAAUCGAUCGUCAAAUUUGGGCAUAGGGGCGAAAGACUAAUCGAACUAUCUAGUAGCUGGUUCCUGCCGAAGUUUCCCUCAGGAUAGCAGUAACGUUUUCAGUUUUAUGAGGUAAAGCGAAUGAUUAGAGGACUGGGGGAUGAACAUCCUUCACCUAUUCUCAAACUUUAAUAUGUAGANUCCUUGNACUUAUUGACGUGNCAGUUGAUGUAUCGUUACUAGUGGCCAUUUUGGUAAGCAGACUGGCGAUGCGGGAUGACCGAACGCG
rnacentral:rRNA from 1 species